AAAUACCUAGGAAUACAACUAACAAAGGAGGUAAAGGACCUUUUCAAUGAGAACUACAUCUCCUAUCUCUUUACUGGCAGAACUGGUUGCUGCUAGAUUCCAGAUCUUCUGACUUAUCCCUAGUUCAUUGCUGUGCAUAAUGCAUUUGGCUAUUCUUAUUGUAAUUUGCUUUUCAUUUUUUAGAGUUCUUAAUUCUUCUUGGUAAUUUUUAAUCUGCUGUUCCUCAAUCUUCUGAUGAAAGUGGUAGCACAAGUAUUACUAUGAUUAUUCACUUACAAUUGAAAGUUAAGUGAUAUGCCUCAUCAAGGUUAGAUAACUGAGUUACUACUAGAGUCGAAAUCAGUAUUAGAAGUGAAAUGUCCUGACUUUUGGUUUAAUCCUGUUUCCAUUAUGUAACAAAGGCUUUUGGUCAAGACAAUCAGAUCUCACAGAUUUAAUUUAUGAAGCAAAAUGAAAAAGGUUAAAAAGAGAAAUGGAACUUAAAUAUAACUUGUUUGUUUAAUUUUUUUAUAUUAUUAAAUUAACAUAUAUAAGAUUUACUUGGGGAAAAAUUAUCCUAAGAAAUAAUUGUUAAAUGUUAAAGUUGCUUUAAGAAUAAACUUACAAUAUUAUCAGUCUAUUCAUAUUAUUCUUUAAAAUCUGGGAUCUGUUAAUUCACAAAUGCUCUAAAAUUUUAAUAUUAUAGAAACCAAUUUUGAGGUAAUAACUUUUUGUUACCUUUUUAACAAUUCAUUUUAUUUUAGAGGUGAGGGGCCACUGAAAACUUCCCAGGAUUUAAUUCAUCAACUAGAGGUUUUUGCUGCAGAGGGUUUAAAGCUUACUUCCAGUGUACAAGCUUUUUCAAAACAGCUGAAAGACGAUGACAAGCUUAUGCUUCUCCUGGAAAUAAACAAGCUAAUUCCUCUAUGCCACCAGCUCCAGACAAUAACUAAGUCUUCUUUGCAGAAUAAAGUAUUUCUUAAGGUUGACAAGUGUAUUACAAAGACAAGAUCCAUGAUGGCUCUCUUAGUUCAACUUCUUUCGCUUUGUUAUAAACUGCUGAAGAAGCUUCAGAUGGAAAAUAACAGAUGGGUCUCAGUUACAAAUAAGGACACCAUGGAUGGUAAAACUUGAGAAGCUUUUAGGGUCAGAUCUCUAGAACAUCAUGUGGUGAAGCUGACAUUUUUAAAAAGCAAAUGAUCCUUUAUCUUUUCAGAAACUCAUCAGUUUUAUAAAGAAAACAAUAAUGAAAUUUUGCUUUAUUUUCUGAUCAUGAAACUGAUUGUGAAGCUUUUUGACAACUAAUAAAUGCCAUGGUAAUUGCUAGAUUCUAA